rnacentral:tRNA from 1 species
GGGAUGAGACUCCUGGGCCAUUAGCUCAGGUGGUUAGAGCGCACCCCUGAUAAGGGUGAGGUCCCUGGUUCAAGUCCAGGAUGGCCCAUUCGGUGUUGGGGGUUUAGCUCAGUUGGUAGAGCGCCUGCUUUGCAGGCAGGAUGUCAGGAGUUCGAGUCUCCUAACCUCCACUGACCGAACUCAAUCUCCGGUUUUGCAUUGAAAGAUGGAGAGCCACUCGAUUGUGAAGUGUGAUUUAGAUGUGUCCGCUGGAUGACCCCAGCUUCCUGUCAUUCCAAAUCGAAGUAAAGGAUUUUACUUGAACGAAUUUGGUUGAUAAGAUGCUGGGCUCGAUUUCAAUGAUCAAGAAAUUGAUCAUUGGAUUUGCAGUCUGGCAGAACCUUGACAACUGCAUAGGUAAGUCUGGAAAAAACAAAGCAUCUUACAGAUGCAUUGUUUUGAAUCUGAUCUUCUGAAAGGGAGAUUGGAUCUAGAACAAUGAAAAUUCUUUUGAGCAAGAGCCGAGACUCUUGAGCGUUCUUUGAUUCGUGUCGAGCGAAUCAGAGUUUGAUCUUGUUUUAGGAAUCAGCGAAAGUUGACGAUUAAAACUGGAGAAUCUGCUUUCAACGGCGGUAAGCGUUCAGGAGAUUAAUUGGUCAAGCUACAAAGGGCUCACGGUGGAUACCUUGGCACACAGAGGCGAUGAA